rnacentral:lncRNA from 1 species
GCAAAAAAUCCCAAAAAUUUGAGGAAAAAACCUCAAAAAAUUUGGGGAAAACUCCCCAAGAUUUGUGGAAAAAAAUCCCAAAAUUUUGGGAAAAAAAACCUCAAAAAUUUGGGAAAAAUGCCCAAAAAUUUGGGGAAAAAACCCCAAAUGUUGGGAAUUUUCCCCAAGAAUGUUUUGGGUUCUCCCCAGAGCCCCCUGGAGCAGCCCCGGGACCUUUUUGGCUCCUCCAGCCUCGACUUCCAGGUGAGAUUUGGGGGAAUUUUGGGGAAAUUUUGGGAUUUUUUGGGGAAUUUUUGGGAUUUUUUUGGAUUUUUUGGGAUUCCUCAAAAACUUGACCCCAAACUUUGGCUCCUCCCGCAUUAAAAAUUGACAUUUUGGGUGAAUUUUGGGAUUUUUUUUGGGGUUUUCUCCCCAAAAUUUUGGGGUUUUCACCCCCAGACUCUCUGAGGACGAAACCCCAAAAUUUCCCUUUUGUUUUUUGCCCAUUUUUGGGGUUUUUUACCCCAAAUUUGGGUCCUUCAAUUACAGAAAUCCCAACAUUCUGAUGGUUUGGGGCAUUUUGGGGGGAAUUUGGGAAUUUUUUGUGUUUAUCUCAAAUAUUUUGGGGUUUUUAUUUCUCUCUUCUCUCCCCAGACUUUCUGAAGCCACAAUUCCAGGUUUCCCUUGGAGCUUUUUCCCAUUUUUUGGAGUUUUCAGCCCAAAAUUUCUGAUUUUUCCCAGUUCAAAUUCCAAACUGGAGCUUUUUGGGCCAUUUUUUGGGGAAUUUUUGGGAUUUCUCCCAAAUAUUUUGGGGUUCCCACCCCUUUAUCUCCCUCCAGAUUUUCUGGGAAUGAAAUUCUCAAAUUCCCUCCAAGUUUUUCCCAUUUUUUGCCGUUUUCACCCCAAAUUCCCCCAAUAAAAAUCUGCAGCAACUCCUUCGUUUCUGGGCUCUUCUUUUGGGAAUUUCGCUGGAAUUUCUUGGGAAUUUCGGGGUCUUUUUCCAGAAUUUUGGGGUUCCCGCCCUCCCUUCUCUUUCUGCACUUUCUGACCUCGGAAUUCUGAAUUUUCCACCUUUUUUCCCCACUAAAAACAGCAAAAACUCCCUCAUUUUGGGGCCGUUGUUUUUGGCAAUUCCUCUGGAAUAUUUUGGGGUGUUUUCCCAAAUACUUUGG